rnacentral:tmRNA from 1 species
GGGGCCGACCGGUUUUGACAGGAUGCGUGAGUACAUAUGCCAGCAUGCAGGCUCAUGGGAUGAGAGCCUUGAAAGAUAGUCCUGAACCAUACUUGGCGAGUCUAACUACGCCUUGGCUGCUUAAUCUGACGAUUCGUUAGAUAAGUUUGCUCCGAUUAAGAAUCGGAGGGCCAACAUCGCUCAUCGCUUUUGUUCUGCGAGUGAUGAAUAUGCGGUGUCGUUUGUCGGAACUGCUUUGCGCGAGGUUACUAAGUGCAACUAAGACACAGUGACUAAGGAACAGAUGAGGUUGUUGACUACCUUUCCGUUCUCGAAAAUUAAAGUUGACUAAGCAUGUAGAAUCUACGCGUUUAUCUUCCCUGGACCUGGGUUCGAUUCCCAGCGGCUCCACAU